rnacentral:rRNA from 1 species
CGCCAGACUCCUACGGGAGGCAGCAGUGGGGAAUAUUGCACAAUGGGGGAAACCCUGAUGCAGCGACGCCGCGUGAGGGAAGAAGGUUUUCGGAUUGUAAACCUCUGUCCUUGGUGACGAAAGAAGACGGUAGCCAAGGAGGAAGCCACGGCUAACUACGUGCCAGCAGCCGCGGUAAUACGUAGGGGGCGAGCGUUAUCCGGAUUCACUGGGUGUAAAGGGAGCGUAGACGGCCAAGCAAGCCAGGGGUGAAAGCCCGGGGCCCAACCCCGGGACUGCCCUUGGAACUGCAUGGCUGGAGUGCGGGAGGGGCAGGCGGAAUUCCUGGUGUAGCGGUGAAAUGCGUAGAUAUCAGGAGGAACACCGGCGGCGAAGGCGGAUUGCUGGACAGUAACUGACGCUGAGGCGCGAAAGCGUGGGGAGCAAACAGGAUUAGAUACCCCCGUA